rnacentral:rRNA from 1 species
ACCUCAAUGGACCUGCAAAGUUACCAAAGUGUUGCGUAGAAGAAGUGUUUGGGAAAACACGCCACAGCGGGUGAUAGCCCCGUAUUUUAAACGCAAUGCUCUUUGAGCCAGUUCCUGAGUACCACGGAGUACGUGAAGUUCCGUGGGAAUCCGCGAAGACCAUUUCGCAAGGCUAAAUACUCGGUAGUGACCGAUAGUGAACAAGUACUGUGAAGGAAAGGUGAAAAGCACCGCGGGAGCGGAGUGAAAUAGAACCUGAAAUCGUACGCUUACAAGGUAUGGAAGGGCGUAAGCCUGACCGUGUGCCUUUUGUAGCAUGAGCCUGCGAGUUACUGUAUGCAGCAAGGUUAAGGGAUUUAAGUUCCGGAGCCGAAGCGAAAGCGAGUCUGAAUAGGGCGAUUUUAGUUGCAUGCUUUAGACCCGAAGUUGAGUGAUCUAGCCUUGGUCAGGAUGAAGUGGCAGUAACAUGCCAUGGAGGUCCGAACUCGUGAAUGUUGAAAAAUUCUGAGAUGAACUGAGGCUGGGGGUGAAAGGC